rnacentral:lncRNA from 1 species
AUGAACAGGGUAGAUCCAACAAGGAGCAUGAAGGAGGUGAUAUGGAUCACAUUCUCAAAAGAUUUACAGCUGAACUCUCCACGUGAUUUACAUAAGACGAUGGCUCCAUCAGUCUGCACUUGUGAGCGGUGCAAUGAUGUAAAGUUUCGGCAGGGCUCUGAGUCCAGGCUCCACAUCUCAUUGGUCUCUGGCCAAAGUGAAAAAGUGGACUGCUGGUUUAAGCACCCGACCCAGGUCCCUGCCUUCAGGGCUUCGACAUCAGUGCUGACAAAAAGCCAUGAAAAGCACUGAGAAAUGUUUCAUCGGUCACGACACAUUAUGCAGCCGGGUGAGCACAACAUUAAACUUUCCUCUCACCUCAUCACUGUUUUACUUGUAUUGUCUUGCACCUCAGCUGACAAACCAGCAGCUCUGGGUUUGCUGGCGGGUUUUAACAACUCCAAAUGUUUCCUCUCAUUAUUGAAAUUCUUAGGGGUUUUGAAAUAUGAAAAUAAAUCUUGGUGCAUUUCUCGCAGUUGGAGCACGUAUAUACAUCUUUUAUGAGCCUCUGGGACUGCAAGCCCUCAUUUCAUCUGAUGAGGAAAAACAAAUACCUGC